rnacentral:rRNA from 1 species
UACGAGAGGUGCAAGUGUUGUUCCUAAUGACUGGGCGUUAAGGGUAUGCAGACGGUAAUUUAAGUUUAAUUAAUGUACAUAUCGUGUCAUAUUAAAUACUAUUUUACUAGAAUAAUAUUUAAAAUAUUAGAACUGUUAGUUCAAGGUUUAAAUCUAUAGAUAAGCAGGAAUGUCAACGGCGAAGGCAUAUAUUUAUUUAUUAUUGACGUUAAUGUACGAAAGCAUGGGGAUCAAACGGG